CAAUAGCGUAUAUUAAAGUUGUUGCAGUUAAAAAGCUCGUAGUUGGAUUUCUGGUGGGAGCGAUCGGUCUGGCGCUUAGCGCGAGUACUUGCAUCGUCUCCGGCCAUCCUUGGGGAGAGUCUGUCUGGCAUUAGGUUGUCGGGCAGAGGAUCCUCAUCGUUUACUGUGAAAAAAUUAGAGUGUUCAAAGCAGGCUUAUGCCGUUGAAUAUAUUAGCAUGGAAUAAUAAGAUAGGACUUUGGUACUAGUUUGUUGGUUUGCGCACCAAAGUAAUGAUUAAUAGGGACAGUUGGGGGUAUUCGUAUUCCGUUGUCAGAGGUGAAAUUCUUGGAUUUACGGAAGACGAACUACUGCGAAAGCAUUUACCAAGGAUGUUUUCAUUAA
rnacentral:rRNA from 1 species